CAAAAUUUCAACUCAGUUUCUAUCGGCGUCCUUCUCAAGCUAUUCCAUGGCCGGCGCCGCCGUCUCUCUCCGGCGAUUCCGCGGCCGGUGACUCUUCCAUUUGUCGCUAUUCCCAGCCUUACGGUCACAAAGCCAGGGAGAAGGGGAAGAAGAUGAAUUUGAGAGGAUGGAGAUGGUAGCAUUUAUAGUGGAUGAAUUGGGUAUAAAAAGAAAACCCUAGCAGUAGCGGCUGCUAAAAGUUGUAGUUGAUUUAACAUUGUGUUUGGGAGUAGGUGAAUUCUUAUCCUUCCCUUGGAUGGCUUUAUAGUUAGCGUUUGGUACAAUAAUGGAAGGUGGAAUGAAAUGUGUUUUAUUUU